rnacentral:rRNA from 1 species
UACGGGGGGUGCAAGCGUUGCUCGGAAUUACUGGGCGUAAAGCGUCCGCAGGCGGAGCAGCAGGUCGGUCGUGAAAGCCCGGGGCUCAACCCCGGAACUGCGAUCGAAACCAUUGCUCUUGAGUCCGGGAGAGGGGGGUGGAAUUCCUGGUGUAGAGGUGAAAUUCGUAGAUAUCAGGAGGAACACCGGUGGCGAAAGCGGCCCCCUGGCCCGAAACUGACGCUCAUGGACGAAAGCGUGGGGAGCAAACAGG